rnacentral:rRNA from 1 species
GAGUUUGAUCGUGGCUCAGAUUGAACGCUGGCGGCAUGCCUUACACAUGCAAGUCGAACGGCAGCACGGGAGCUUGCUCCUGGUGGCGAGUGGCGAACGGGUGAGUAAUGCAUCGGAACGUAUCCUGGAGUGGGGGAUAACGUAGCGAAAGUUACGCUAAUACCGCAUAUUCUGUGAGCAGGAAAGCGGGGGACCUUCGGGCCUCGCGCUCUUGGAGCGGCCGAUGUCGGAUUAGCUAGUUGUGAGUAAAGGCUCACCAAGCGACGAUCCGUAGCAGGUCUGAGAGGAUGAUCUGCCACACUGGAACUGAGACACGGUCAGACUCCUACGGAGCAGCAGUGGAAUUUGGACAAUGGGGCAACCCUGAUCCAGCCAUGCCGCGUGAGUGAAGAAGG